GAAAUUAUUUGACAUACCUGGAGUGCAUCUUCACCAUAGGCAGGCAGCAGUUGUUCAUUCUGAAGAUCUGCCUUCUCUUGCACUUUAAAGUCGUCUAAGGGGACAAUCCUUCCCUAAUGUUUUGAAAAUGUUCAGGCAGUCUCAGAGAAGAGUACAUUGAAGGAUACCGAUGACAUUGGUCUAAAUGGAUUUUCAUUAUUCUGGGACGGGCUUGUUCGCAUUGAUGUCAUUAAGAUUCUUCCAAGGACGCGUCUAACAUUCUAUGGGCCCAGAAAAUUGCAGAUUCAUAUGGUUCCGACUGUUGAAGCAAAUGAGUUUUACCAUGUAAUAUCACAAUCAGUUUUUAAGUUAUUUGGCUCUGUAUGGUUAAUUUGCUGUCUUUCUUUUCCCAGUAAAUUUAUUUCCUUAUCUAAUUCAAGUACAUGUUGUCUUCAAUUUAUGUGUUUAAUGUGUUGUGUUCUUUGUAAAGUUGUAUGCAUAUGUUUUUUGGUACAAUCUAGUUUGAUUAAAGUAACUGCUGAAACUGCGUCAGAUUUGGUGUUCCUCAAAAUGCAGAGUCCUUCAAACUACCGAGCUAUUAAUAUUUUUGCCUGACGUUCUGACGAUUUCAUGUUCCAUAAGGCAGUAAUUAAUGUACAAAAGGUGUUACUAGCAGGAAUUGUCAUACUUGUAGUUCCACUCUCUACAUGAAAACAUCGGAUUGAUUUUUAAGAAGUUUUAUAGAAAACUAAAUGAAUGUUAUGCAUUUAUCAAAUUAUCAAUUCACAAAAGGCCAGUGUGUGUGUGCGCGUGCAGGUGUGUGUGUGUGUGUGUGUGUUUUGGGGGUGGGAAGGGGUUGUGUAGGACACAGAUGAGCAUUUAUUAGGUCACAAUUUUUUUUUCUCUGUA